rnacentral:tRNA from 1 species
GGGCACGUAGCGCAGUUGGUUAGCGCACUUCCUUGACAUGGAAGGGGUCACAGGUUCGAGUCCUGUCGUGCCCA